AUACGGAGGAUCCGAGCGUUAUCCGGAUUUAUUGGGUUUAAAGGGUCCGCAGGCGGCCAUUUAAGUCAGCGGUUAAAUCGUGGGGCUCAACCCCAUUCUGCCGUUGAUACUGGGUGGCUUGAUUGCGGUCGAGGUUGGCGGAAUUCGUUGUGUAGCGGUGAAAUGCAUAGAUAUGACGAAGAACACCAAUUGCGUAGGCAGCUGACCAGACCGCAAAUGACGCUCAUGCACGAAAGUGCGGGGAUCGAACAGGAUUAGAUACCCUGGUAGUCCGCACAGUAAACGAUGAAUACUUGUUUUCGGCGAUAUAAUGUCGGAGGCAAAGCGAAAGCGAUAAGUAUUCCACCUGGGGAGUACGCCGGCAACGGUGAAACUCAAAGGAAUUGACGGGG
rnacentral:rRNA from 1 species